rnacentral:lncRNA from 13 species
AUGUGUGUGAGGGUGACAAAGCUGGAGAAAGCCAUACAGGGAAGUGGCUGUGUCUGUACAUGUGUGCUGCCAGUUCUCCCUCUUUCAAGCACGGAGCUGCUUUGGGGAAGAGUCAGGGGUGCUCAGAGCCAGUGUCUAUCAGUUUUUUUGGUUGUGAGGGUCUUUCACUGUCAGUGUGGCUGCUGUACCAAGUGGACAGGGUUGGGUCAGGGGAGUCCUGCAUGUGCCCUGAGGCAUUCUCAGAGAGAUCCCUUGCUGAAGCCAUGCCAGGCUGCCAGCCUGGGGUGGGGCAGGAGGACUCGGAGCUGCAAAUGGCUGCACCUGCCUGGGAAUGUCAGAAGUGAAGACGCUGGUCUUGUUUGAUGGAGUUUUACACCAAAGCCCUGAACCACUGUGCCUGAUGGAGGAACUGGAUGAUUAAUCUCCCUUUAUCAGUUGUGCUGAGCAGAGUGGUUGUUCCCAGGGCUCCCAGUCUGUCCCUUCUUCAUUGUGCCAUUGGUUUGGUAGUGACAUUAAAGUGAAGCUACUUGCAGAUUCUGUUCCAGUCUGCUGUGUUCACGUGCUUCGAGCUUUCAGAAAUGUUCUCCCUUUCAACUGCAAUUUGCACAUUUGGCCUCUGCUGAGAGGUGAUGCUUCAAUGGGAUGCUGAAGUCUGGUGGUUGGAAAGCAGUGUUUCUAGUGAUACACUGAGCUGUCUUGCUUUGCAUAUGUGAUACCCACUGUAUUUCCUGUGCUUGAGGGCCCUGUGUGGCUGCUGGAUGCUGGUUCACAGUCUGCAAAUACAGCGGGGGGGGAUGGUAGAGGAGGAAUCAAAUCUUUUUCUUCACUUGACAAAGUGGUCAGAGUUUCUUGCAGAAGGAAGGCUGGCACUUUAUCUGGCUUGCAAAUCUUAUCCAGAGGCUCGCUGACUUGUCAUAAGGACGUAGCUCUGCUGUGCUAGUCCAUCAUCAUUCAGACCAUAGAUAGCAAAGGGCUCUGAAAUCAGGAGACACAUUUAACACUUUUUGUCCCUCUUAAAGUCCUCCAAGGAAUGUACAUCCUGUGUGUAGUGGUCUCUUUCAGCCUUGCUCAACCACACUCCAGUUUUCUGAUGCUUCCACUUUAGCUUUCUCAUAGGUGAACCUUCUGUUAUUUAUGCCUGUGUCCCGAAUCUCCUUGCUGAGAGCUGGAUUUGGGAAAAGAGCAAGCAGUAAAAUCAAAAGCCAUCACCUGUUCCUGUGGUUUGCUGCUCUUUGCAGCCCUUUGAGUUUAUAUACAGCAAAUGUCUGUUGCAAAGUCUGUCCCUGCAAACAGCAACAGGCUGUUUUGGGAUGUUUGCUUUCCCUGUGAUUUCUCUUUGAGCAGCAAGACCUGUAAGCAGGGUCAUGACUCAAGAACAGUAGAAGGAGACAGGGGUGGGCUGUAGCAGCAGGACCCUCUAUUAUUGUCUCUGCAGUAAAGAGCAGAGGGGCUGUAACACCCAUGCCAGCCCUUUCCUGGGCACCGUGGACCACUGUGGAGCCUUUUUGCCAGCACUUACAUUGGUCACUGUGUUGGACCUGGCUGUCAACAGGAUCAUCUCCUUCUUUCUUUGGGCAAAGUGCCUCAGAGAGCCUGAACACACUUUCCAAGGAGAAAUUUGGUGUCUCUUCUGAGCCACAGACCUGGGGGAUGGUCAUUUGUUGAUGCAGCAGGACUGGCAACUCUGGGUCCUGCACAUGAAGAUUUUGGGAAUUCUACCGGGGAGCACCUGUGUGUCAGUGCUGGCAGCAGAGAGCAAAGCCAGGGACUCCCAGAGCGGGUGGCCAAGGUCCCUCUUGAUGAGAUGAGGCUCACCACUGUGGGAGGGGGAAGUGGGUGAUGUUAGCUGUUGCUGCCCUUAUGUCUGCCCCUGCUUGCUGUGUACCUGCCUGCAGCACUUAGGAGAGUCCCUGAUAGCUGAAGGUGGAAGAGGAGUGUGAUUCCUCUCUGGGCAAGUCAUGUUGGUGAAAAAUAAACUGGAUCUGGCCAGAUGAGAUUUUUGAACAGCACCUGUAAGUACUGUUGGGGUUGC